UGGGGAAUUUUGGACAAUGGGCGCAAGCCUGAUCCAGCCAUGCCGCGUGCAGGAUGAAGGCCUUCGGGUUGUAAACUGCUUUUGUACGGAACGAAAAGACUCCUUCUAAUAAAGGGGGUCCAUGACGGUACCGUAAGAAUAAGCACCGGCUAACUACGUGCCAGCAGCCGCGGUAAUACGUAGGGUGCAAGCGUUAAUCGGAAUUACUGGGCGUAAAGCGUGCGCAGGCGGUUAUGCAAGACAGAGGUGAAAUCCCCGGGCUCAACCUGGGGACUGCCUUUGUGACUGCAUAGCUAGAGUACGGUAGAGGGGUAUGGAAUUCCGCGUGUAGCAGUGAAAUGCGUAUAUACGCGGAGGAACACCGAUGGCGAAGGCAAUCCCCUGGACCUGUACUGACGCUCAUGCACGAAAGCGUGGGGAGCAAACA
rnacentral:rRNA from 1 species